rnacentral:tmRNA from 4 species
GGGGGUGUCUUUGGAUUCGACAGGAUGUAAUAGUAGUUGGGAAUCAUGCCGAUGUCUUAUCUGAUCGUAAAACAGAUAAGAAAAAAUAAACGCAAACUCUGAAUUAGCUUUAGCUGCUUAAUUAAUCGCAGCUAGGUGGCUUUUGCUUAUCGCUUGCUUUAGGUAAAAGCUGCCUAAUAUUUUAAGCAAGCAUCGCUCAAUCGAGUUCGUUUGCGCACUCAUUGAGCGAUUAACAAGCGCAAAAUCGGACUUCUUUGGUUUGACCUUUGCCAAAAGGAGUCUUAAAAUUAAAAAAGGUCUAAGCAUGUAAAAAGUUUCCAGCUACGAGACAUUACUGGACGCGGGUUCGACUCCCGCCACCUCCACCA